rnacentral:rRNA from 1 species
GACGAACGCUGGCGGCGUGCUUAACACAUGCAAGUCGAACGGAAAGACCCUGCUUUUGUGGGGUGCUCGAGUGGCGAACGGGUGAGUAACACGUGAGUAACCUGCCCUUGACUUUCGGAUAACUUCAGGAAACUGGGGCUAAUACCGGAUAGGAGCUCCUGCUGCAUGGUGGGGGUUGGAAAGUUUCGGCGGUUGGGGAUGGACUCGCGGCUUAUCAGCUUGUUGGUGGGGUAGUGGCUUACCAAGGCUUUGACGGGUAGCCGGCCUGUGAGGGUGACCGGCCACAUUGGGACUGAGAUACGGCCCAGACUCCUACGGGAGGCAGCAGUGGGGAAUAUUGCACAAUGGGCGGAAGCCUGAUGCAGCAACGCCGCGUGCGGGAUGACGGCCUUCGGGUUGUAAACCGCUUUCGCCUGUGACGAAGCGUGAGUGACGGUAAUGGGUAAAGAAGCACCGGCUAACUACGUG